AUGUACUGGCAAUUCCUUGUUUGCUCAUUGCAGAUCCUUUCUGGCAAGCGUUGGCAAUCACCCAUAAACACACAUAGAAAAUCCCAUGCAGGUCCAGGCAUCAUGGCUUUUCAGCACUACAGCCAUUCCAGACCACACAGAUAUUACAGGUGCCCAAAUGCACCUGCGGGGUUGCUGGGUAACCAGAAAUUCCAGGCAUUUGGGGAAGGGAGGUGCAAACAACAAAACAAUGAGCUCAAGUGCUCAGGCUCCUGCUGCACUACACAAGGUGUGCUAAACAUCUUACUGGGGCUUAAAAAGGAAGUGCUCUGCAACAGGCAGCAAAUGACUACUAUUACAUAAUUCUACUAGGCAAGCUGCUAGCAAGCCUCUGUUUUCUUUGUUGAAUCUCAUUUUCAUGAACCUAGGGUUAAUUGUUUCACUUUUGAAAUUCCUGGUAUGUUCUGGUUUGCUUAUAUUAUUUCCCUGACUGCUCUUACUAUAUUUAUUUGCUUAAUAUCUUAUCCUUUCUUGUUUACAAAUAAAUAAAUAUAAAUACUAUAAUUAGGAGCUUCAUGAAAAUUUAAGGAAAUAUCAGUUCCUUAGAAUAAAAAUUUAUAGAUACCUCCAUGAUACUGAGUCUGUAAGAGAAUUUAACAGGUAUUGACUAUAGCAAGAAAAAAAAAAAGCCACAAAUAACACUAAAGCAAUAUGCAGUUACAAGUUAACAAAAAAAUAGAAGAAAAAAAGAAAGCCCUUUCACCAUAAGAUUGGAAAGACAUACCUAGCCAUAGUUGCAGCAACUCCAUUUUCCAGGCUUCCUAUAUAAUUUAAAAACUGAGCAACGUACAGAUAAAAUACUGCACCGGCUGACCACUGUCAGUAGAAACAUGUUUGCAUUGAGUCACUCAGACCUUUGAGGCACCUUGUGGUGACAACUUUUACACUGUUUAUCUCUGUUUCUUGACCUUUGGUAAGUGUUAAUACUUCAGACUAUCCUGGGUGCAGUCUUGGAAGCUAUUGGUGUACAGAUCUCAUCAGAUCAGAUUCUCUAAAAGUUACAGAGCAGUUUCUCUUCUGCAAGGAAAAACAGUGAAAGCAUACUGAGGCACAGUGUCACAGAUUAAGAUAGACAAGAAAGACAUUAUACUGGUUAAGAAAUUGCCCAUGAGAAAUUGUGCUAUGUAGUCAUUAAAUGCAACAUUAGAAAAAGUGUACUGUUUUAUGGUACAUUAAUGUUUGCUCCCGUUAAUAGAAAAACAAACAAACAAACAAACAAAAAUAGUGAUUUGAACAGUCCUAGGCUGCAGUCUAGCUCUUUGCUUUUCUUUCUGCCUGCCUGAGACUCAGAAAAUGAAAGAACAGUUAAGCGCUUCUCCAUGGACUGUGUAAAGGUAACAUGAGGACAGCCUCUCUGAUCACCCCAUUGAUGGCCUCCACUGAGGAAGUGGAGGGACACUCUACCUCCUUUAUUGGGGGCAUUCCUCAGUUAAGAUAAAAUUUAAAUCAAUCUAUAUUAUGCAAAAUAGGUGCUGAGUAAGAAGUGUCCCUGAGAUUAUAGAAAAUAUGAGCUAUCAAAUAUAGAAAUAAGUUGUUCCUCCACUAUUUUGGGAUUCAUCUUGAUUCUCUUUUCCCUCUUUAGACUGCUAAAAAGAAGAUUUAAAUAAAUUUGACAGAUGCAACUGCAUCUUGUUUACCAGCUGAAACACAGGUGAACAUGUCAUACCUGCCACACACCUCUAGAAGCCUCACUCUGCAAGAUACAGAGCAUUAUUUACAGAACCACAGAAAACUCCAUGGUGUUUUGUACCUUUGACCUUUGCUAGAAAACACUUGAUAGCCUUUCUACAGGUUAAGGCUUUACAUUUUAAUCCCUUUCAUCAAACAGUGGAGAGUCUUACUCCUGCCUCCAGCAGGGUUUAUAAGGUUUCUUUCACAAUGCAGAUUUAAUUAUUUGGACACAGUAUGCAUACCAUUGUGUACAGAGAUAAUGAGUGAGCAUCUAAAGGGCUACAGCGGAAUGCAUGUUCAUUCAUGCUGACCCAAAAAGACCCUUCAAAAAUGGAGACUGAAACCACAGAGUAUCAGAAGCCACAACAUCAAAUUCAUUUGUCUGUGUGCUGGCUGUAGGCAAAUGUGGAUAUAAAAGUAGCUUAUCUUUAUUUUCUGUUACAGUGGGUCUUGUGAUUGUAUGGACUUGUAGACUUGUAUCAACCACAAAAUCUCAACAGUGAUGAUAAGUUGCUUUGAAAGGGAAAAGGCCUACAUUUUUGUGAUUAAAUCCAACUUGCAUACAGAGGGCGAAAGAAAGAUUAUAUCAGACAUGAACACAUGGCAGCAGCCUGCACCCAUCCCCUGCAAUUCUUUCCUCAGCGAGUUCAAAUCCUCAUUAAUCUGAUCCCUGCUUUCAGCACAGACCCAAAUUUCUACCAUGCUGUGCCCCAUAUUUUUCACAAGGCUCCGGGCCCGGCGUGGCUGGAGCUCACCCUGCUCCCCAGACAGGGCCGGGGCGAGGCAGCAGGUUCCGCACCGCGGGCUGAGAUGCAGCCCUUGCUCUGUGCGAUGGCAUUGCGCAGCUCAGCAUCAGGUAACCCGUGUUACGUAACGGAAUCUGAUAACAGUGCUUGCACACGUAGCUACUGAUCCCCGUCUUCACGUCUGCAUAUGUAUUAAAAUACAGUAUGAUAACAGUAAGCCGGAGCUGUUUUCGGACUGUCACGGACCAUACCACGGCUCACCCAACCGUCCUCACCGCUCCCA
ensembl:lncRNA